CCAAAGCAGUCAUUUAUCAGAGCAUCCCCCAAACUUCGCACAUGAACUCCCCUCUCCUUGUGAAGAGUCCUCAAAUUCCACACGAGGUGUGAGCAUGAAUAACUGCAGGAGGCGCAAGCAGUGCUCAUUUACAGAACUGCCUCUCUAAGAAAGGAGCCUUUCGUGUACCUCUCCUUGAAGCCACUUUGACCGAACAGGAGUAGCUACAGUGUUCACUGGGACUCAGCAACUCUGGAACAGCUUUCCAGUGAAGGACAUGAAUCCCACCUUCUUUUCCUUAUCCCAACUGUUACAUAUACACUGCUUGAAUCUUGUCUACAGCUCCUCUGUUCACGUGAUCAGUACCCUGACCUGGUUGCCAUUCCAGUGAGAGGGGCUUGCCUGCACCCUCUCGUUGGCAGCUCCCAGCUAACAAGGGUAUUUCCAACGGGUCCCCUUGGCAGUGAGCACGACACCCACACAUUCUAUUUACGUCUACGUACACAUCCGAGUGUGUUUCCUCAGCCAGAGAAGACAUUACGCUUCCUAAUGUUGUUACCCAAAGAGCGAGAACAGAGGAUGUGUUGAUUGCAAGAAGAUGAGUAAAACCUACCUGUUUUAGUCCUUCAUGUAUGUAUGUCUCACCUGCUGGUGUCACCUCCUCCAGAUCCUUUAGACCUUUCUUGAUUUUCUC